GGAACUAGCUCAGGGGUAGAGCACACGCUUAGCAUGCGAGAGGUCCUGGGUUUAAUCCCCAGUACCUCCA
rnacentral:tRNA from 1 species